rnacentral:lncRNA from 1 species
AAUGAAUAUAUAUUUAAAAACUAAAUGUUUGUCAGUAAUAUUUAGGUUAGCAUUUCAGAUAAUAAAUAAACUUAGAUGUAGGAUAAAGGGAGGGAGGCAAUUAGGAAAUAUGUCCAGAUAUUUGGGGAAAUUGGUUGUUCCCCUAUAAAAAUUCAUCUCCUACGCCAAUGAACUUACUUACGAAAAGUUGAAUUAUGAUGGUUAUACCUGAAUAAUGACUCUUCGUUAUCUUGAUAUCUACUCUGAUGACUUCUCCAACUCCUCAUAAAGCUUAACUAACUCCAUUAGAUCUCUUUUUAUCAAAGUACCAACCUGUGUUUUCGUCCGCGUAUCCUAAAGAAACUGCAACUUUAUUAAACAAUUUUUCCAUAAACUCAAUUUUGAAGAUCAGUUACUAUGAGAUAAUUUGAAAGUAUAAUAAAGUGAAUUUAGAGGUAGCAUUAACCCUGUGAAGAUAUCAAUUAUAUUUAAGGACAAUUUAAAGCCAAAAAAUUAUUCUUUUUUAAAUGAUUGUUUGAAAAGGAAUAACGACUUCAUUUUUCUUUUGUUUGAUAUUUAUUGGAUCUGAUUGAAAGCGUAAAUACUUGAUCUUGCGUAUACAAAAGAGCGUUUGUUUUUAGUUUUUCAGCAAUAUUGAUUUAAGAAGGGGUUUAUUAAUGCAAAAAUUUAUCCAUUUUGAAUUAAUGAAAUAGUGGAUGUAUCGUGUACCGCGUUCAAUUGCUACAACUCAUCAUGUUGAGAUAGUACAACUUUUUAUAUCUGAACUGAAAAAAAAACUGGAUCUCAACAACGUUCUAAAAGCUAUUUGGUUUUAAGAUGAAGCUCAACUGUUGUUGAUGACUAAAAACUAGGUCUUGUAUAAUACAAUUUAAAUAACAUAUUAAAAGCAUUAAUUAUGUCUUGUUUUAUAUAAUGAUAGUAAAAAUAUAAUAAAAAAUCUUUAUUUUACAAAUUAUUCAAAAUUAUAUUGAUAUUGUACAUGGAUUGGCAUAAGAAAGUUAAAGUUAACAAUAGAGUUAUUGUUUAAUCCGGACAAUCUCACCAUGAGGACUCUUUGAGAAAUAGGUUUCACUGUUGUGACAUUUUCUGUUGACAAUCACUCAGUAAAUAGAAAGUUAUACAUCCAAAAUCUGUGUGGAGGUAAUCUUCAAGCCUCAAUUCCUCACCAUUAAGAUAGUUCAAGGCGAUGUCAUCUCCUCAUCGAUGAAGUUCACAAUUUAAACAAUAUUUAUAAUUGUUUUCAGAGAGGGAAUAACUUGGUAUGUCCAAAUAUUUACCUUCUUGGAUCACCACCUUUGCGCAGAAUAGUAUUUCAUAAAUACCAUAUUUAUUAUUAAUACUCUAAUGGGAAAUUCUACGGAAAGGAAAAUCAAACAUGUAAAACGGUUUUAUCAUUUACAAUAACUGGAAUAGCCUGUUAUUACCAAGAAAUAAAUAGCAUGGUACAGGCAUCAAUUGAAGAUAUCUUCCUCUAAAAUAAAAUGGUUCUAGUCAUUGAAAAAAAAAAAAUAUAUAUAUAUAUAAGUGAAUCCUUCAUCGUCUAAUCAUUCUGAGAUGUCAUAUCAACAAAAAAAAAUAGGGAAUAUACUUAGUUGUACUUUAGUGGAAAACUUUAUAUUUAACAAAUUUCCAAAGAUUUCUAUUUAAACGUAAAUAAUUUCUUUAUUUGACACAAUUCAACUCGUUCAAAACAAUCCUUACAAACCCGAAAAAAGAAGAAUUUAUAAAAUAUUAUCACUAAAAUUGGAUCAAUGUGAUAUGCAAAUUGAGAACAUUCUGAGGGAAUCUCCCCACUAUAUAACUCUCUCUAGAGGUUCUUCAACACCAGGAAGGAAUAGUAUGUGUAUUUUCGGAUAUAUAGCAUAAUCAUUAUUCAAAAACUUGUAAUUCUACACAUCACUCAAAAUAUAUAACUAUGAUAUGACCUUAAAUCAAGUAACAAACAAUGAGUAUUAACCCUGUAUGGUAUCCAAUAUCCUGUGAAAUACUAUCGACAAGUUGCACAUCUCGUCAUUGUUUCUCUAUCUAUAUUCUUAAAAUAGUCCAUAAAGUUUCAACGUUGUGAUGAAGAAGUUUGAGUUGCAUACUUAAGAUAAAAUAUUUGCCACCAUCACUACAACAAAAAUAUGGCUAAACUUCAUUCGAACUAAUAGAUGAUCGUACUUCUAAAAUUAUAUUUUUAUCAUUACAUACGGAAUAAAAAAUAUGUUUUAAAUAAGGUAAAAAAAUUAUAAUAUGCUAAAUUAAUAUUGAAAUUAAUAUAAAUUAAGUUUUAAUUU